rnacentral:rRNA from 1 species
GAAAAUUAAAAAAUUUGGCGGUAUUUUAGUCAAUUCAGAGGAACCUGUCCUAUAAUUGAUAGUCCACGAUAAAAUUAACUUAUUUUUUUAAUUUGUAUAUCGUUGUUUAGAAUUUCUUUUUUGAGAUAAUUUUCAAUUGUUUUUAAUAAAAUAAAUUUCAGAUCAAGGUGCAGUUUAUAAAUAAGAAUUGAUGGGUUACAAUAAAAUUAUAUUUGGUUAUUUGGUUUAAAUUCUGGAUAUAAAUUGGAUUUGAUUGUAAUUAAAAAAAUUUUUUUUUAAUGAUCAUUGUUCUGAAAUAUGU